rnacentral:lncRNA from 1 species
CUCUGUUUCGGGGUUGAGGAAUGACUUCAGGACAUAAGUGGGCAGACUAGAAUGCCAUCUGAACAGCCUCUUUUAUCACUCAACAGCUAAAGGGCUCUGUGGCAGGCCCCAGAACAGAUACGGUUUUGGUUUCAAAGUAAGUCAUAAAAUCACUGAAAAGGGCUGAACUUUUGAAGUGGUUUUUUAGAAUGGAGAGUAAGGCAGUUAAAGAAGGGAAGAGUAUUAUUUUCAAUCA